rnacentral:rRNA from 1 species
ACGAACGCUGGCGGCGUGCUUAACACAUGCAAGUCACGGGGGCCAGCAAUGGCAACCGGCGAACGGGUGCGUAACACGUGAGCAAUCUGCCGAUGUCUGGGGGAUAGCCGGCCCAACGGCCGGGUAAUACCGCAUACGCUUGCUUUGAGGAGUCUCGAGGCAAGGAAACCUCCGGGGGACAUCGAGGAGCUCGCGGCCUAUCAGCUAGUUGGCGGGGUAAUGGCCACCAAGGCUCUGACGGGUAGCUGGUCUGAGAGGAUGGCCAGCCACAUUGGGACUGAGAAACGGCCCAGACCCCUACGGGAGGCAGCAGUGGGGAAUCCUUGCGCAAUGGCCGAAAGGCUGACGCAGCGACGCCGCGUGUGGGAGGACGCCCUUCGGGUGUAAACCACAGUUUGCCCGGGCGAAACAUCCUCUUUCGAGAGGACUGACGGUACCGGGUGAGGAAGCACCCGGCUACAUCCGUGCCAGCAGCCCGCGGUAAUACGGAGGGUGCGAGCGUGGUCCGGAAUCACUGGGCGGUAAAGGGCGCGUAGGCGGCGCGGGAAGUCAUCGGUGAAAGCUCAGGGCUCAACUCUGAGUCGGCCGGUGAUACUCUCGUGCUUGAGCACUGUAGAGGCAGGUGGAAUUCCGGGUGUAGCGGUGGACAUGCGUAGAGAUCCGGAAGAACACCCGGUGGCGAAGGCGGCCUGCUGGGCAGUAGCUGACGCUGAUCGCGCGACAGCGUGGGGAGCAAACAGGAUUAGAUACCUGGUAGUCCACGCCGUAAACGAUGGGCACUAGGUGCUUGGGGGAGCGACCCUCUGAGUGCCGGCGCUAACGCAUUAAGUGCCCCGCCCUGGGAGACGGCGCCGCAAGGCUGUAAACUCAAAGGAAUUGACGGGGGCCCGCACAAGCUGUGGAGCAUGUGGUUUAAUUCGACGCAAACGCGAAGAACCUUACCUAGGCUUGACAUGCAGAGGAAAGCACUGAGAAACCAGAGCCCUCCUUCGGACUGUCUGCACAGGUGCUGCAAUGGGCCUGGUCGUCAGCUCGUGUCCGUGAGAUGUGGGUUAAGUCCCGCAACGGAGCGCACCACCGUUCCCAGUUACUAACGGGUAUGCCGAGGACUCUGGAAGACUGCCGGUGCCAAACCGGAGGAUAGGUGGUGGAACGCGUCAAGUCAUCAUGGUCCUUACGUCUAGGGCUAUCACACGUGCUACAAUGAUCGGUACAGAGGGCUGCAAACCCGCGAGGGGGAGCCAAUCCCACAAAGCCGAUCUCAGUGCGGAUUGGGGGCUGCAACUCGCCUCCAUGAAGCUGGAAUCGCUAGUAAUCGUGGAUCAGCUACGCCACGGUGAAUACGUUCCCGGGCCUUGUACACACCGCCCGUCACGCCAUGGAAGCUGUGAGCGCCCGAAGUCCGUGUCGGAACCCGCAAAGGGGCCAAGCGGGCCGAAGGCGAGCGCAGUGACUGGGGCG